rnacentral:misc_RNA from 2 species
UAACCACUCAAGCCUCGGCUUGGUCUUGGGGUUCGCGGUCUCGCGGCCCUUAAAAUCAGUGGCGGUGCCGUCUGGCUCUAAGCGUAGUAAUUCUCUCGCUAUAGGGUCUCGGUGGUUACCUGCCAGAACCCCCCUAUUUUUAC